UGGGGAAUUGUUCGCAAUGGGCGCAAGCCUGACGACGCAACGCCGCGUGGAGGACGAAGAUCUUCGGGUCGUAAACUCCUGUCGAGCGGGACGAAUGUUCCGCGGGCUAACAUCCCGUGGAAGUGACGGUACCGCUAAAGGAAGCCCCGGCUAACUCCGUGCCAGCAGCCGCGGUAAUACGGGGGGGGCAAGCGUUGUUCGGAAUUACUGGGCGUAAAGGGCUCGUAGGCGGCCAACUAAGUCGGAUGUGAAAUCCCCAGGCUCAACUUGGGAACUGCAUCCGAUACUGGAUGGCUUGAAUUCGGGAGAGGGAUGCAGAAUUCCAGGUGUAGCGGUGAAAUGCGUAGAUAUCUGGAGGAAUACCGGUGGCGAAGGCGGCAUCCUGGACCGACAUUGACGCUGAGGAGCGAAAGCCAGGGGAGCAAAC
rnacentral:rRNA from 1 species